AGGACGAACGCUGGCGGUGUGCUUCACACAUGCAAGUCGAACGGGGUAGCAAUACCCAGUGGCGGACGGGUGAGUAACGCGUGGGAAUCUGCCUUAGAAUGGGGGAUAGCUGGCCGAAAGGCUAAUUAAUACCGCAUAAGCCUAUAUUUCGACAGUUUUAUAGGUAAAAGGAGUAAUCCGUUUUAAGAUGAGCCCGCGUCCGAUUAGCUAGUUGGUAGGGUAAAAGCCUACCAAGGCUUCGAUCGGUAGGUGGCCCGAGAGGGCGAUCACCCACAAUGGAACUGAGACACGGUCCAUACUCCUACGGGAGGCAGCAGUGGGGAAUUUUACGCAAUGGGCGAAAGCCUGACGUAGCGACACCGCGUGAACGAAGAAGCCUUUUGGGGUGUAAAGUUCUGUCGGCUGGGACGAAAAAAUGACGGUACCAGCAGAGGAAGCAUCGGCUAACUACGUGCCAGCAGCCGC
rnacentral:rRNA from 1 species